rfam:Sphaerotilus natans subsp. natans DSM 6575 X805_47, whole genome shotgun sequence.
UUUCAGUGGAAUCCGGAAACCACAUCAGUCCGGGGCGGAACCGAAAAGCCAGACGAGUAGGAAAACA